AACAAAACCAACCAGAAUCACAUCAAAUGCACAACCAACUCAUGUAAAAAGGAAUAAAUAGCUUGUAAGAAUUAAAUUUUAAGUGCUCUUGCAGUCUUGCACACACAGAAAAUGAUCCUACAUGAGAAAACAACACAAUUAUUUGGAUUAAAAGACAAAUUAAAAUAAAAAAAGAUUAAGAAGCACAAACCUUCUAGCUUGACCAAGGACCUUGUGCAAGACUAUUAAGAACAUCUUCAUCUGGUCCGCUAUGACUAUCAAGAUUGUUUCCAAUC
rnacentral:lncRNA from 1 species